rnacentral:rRNA from 1 species
AGAGUUUGAUCCUGGCUCAGAUUGAACGCUGGCGGCAGGCUUAACACAUGCAAGUCGAGCGGAAACGAUGAUAGCUUGCUAUCAGGCGUCGAGCGGCGGACGGGUGAGUAAUACUUAGGAAUCUACCUAGUAGUGGGGGAUAGCACGGGGAAACUCGUAUUAAUACCGCAUACGACCUACGGGAGAAAGGGGGCAGUUUACUGCUCUCGCUAUUAGAUGAGCCUAAGUCGGAUUAGCUAGAUGGUGGGGUAAAGGCCUACCAUGGCGACGAUCUGUAGCUGGUCUGAGAGGAUGAUCAGCCACACCGGGACUGAGACACGGCCCGGACUCCUACGGGAGGCAGCAGUGGGGAAUAUUGGACAAUGGGGGAAACCCUGAUCCAGCCAUGCCGCGUGUGUGAAGAAGGCCUUUUGGUUGUAAAGCACUUUAAGCAGUGAAGAAGACUCCGUGGUUAAUACCCACGGACGAUGACAUUAGCUGCAGAAUAAGCACCGGCUAACUCUGUGCCAGCAGCCGCGGUAAUACAGAGGGUGCAAGCGUUAAUCGGAAUUACUGGGCGUAAAGGGAGCGUAGGUGGCUCGAUAAGUCAGAUGUGAAAUCCCCGGGCUCAACCUGGGAACUGCAUCUGAUACUGUUGAGCUAGAGUAUGUGAGAGGAAGGUAGAAUUCCAGGUGUAGCGGUGAAAUGCGUAGAGAUCUGGAGGAAUACCGAUGGCGAAGGCAGCCUUCUGGCAUAAUACUGACACUGAGGCUCGAAAGCGUGGGUAGCAAACAGGAUUAGAUACCCUGGUAGUCCACGCCGUAAACGAUGUCUACUAGUCGUUGGGUCCCUUGAGGACUUAGUGACGCAGCUAACGCAAUAAGUAGACCGCCUGGGGAGUACGGCCGCAAGGUUAAAACUCAAAUGAAUUGACGGGGGCCCGCACAAGCGGUGGAGCAUGUGGUUUAAUUCGAUGCAACGCGAAGAACCUUACCUGGUCUUGACAUAUCUAGAAUCCUGCAGAGAUGCGGGAGUGCCUUCGGGAAUUAGAAUACAGGUGCUGCAUGGCUGUCGUCAGCUCGUGUCGUGAGAUGUUGGGUUAAGUCCCGCAACGAGCGCAACCCUUGUCCUUAGUUACCAGCGGGUUAAGCCGGGAACUCUAAGGAUACUGCCAGUGACAAACUGGAGGAAGGCGGGGACGACGUCAAGUCAUCAUGGCCCUUACGACCAGGGCUACACACGUGCUACAAUGGUAGGUACAGAGGGCAGCUACACAGCGAUGUGAUGCGAAUCUCAAAAAGCCUAUCGUAGUCCAGAUUGGAGUCUGCAACUCGACUCCAUGAAGUAGGAAUCGCUAGUAAUCGCGGAUCAGAAUGCCGCGGUGAAUACGUUCCCGGGCCUUGUACACACCGCCCGUCACACCAUGGGAGUUGAUUGCACCAGAAGUGGAUAGCUUAACCUUCGGGGAGGCGUUCACCACGGUGUGGUUGAUGACUGGGGUGAAGUCGUAACAAGGUAGCCGUAGGGGAACCUGCGGCUGGAUCACCUCCUUA